rnacentral:rRNA from 1 species
AUUGAACGCUGGCGGCAUGCCUUACACAUGCAAGUCGAACGGUAACGCGGGGCAACCUGGCGACGAGUGGCGAACGGGUGAGUAAUGCAUCGGAACGUGCCCAGUAGUGGGGGAUAGCCCGGCGAAAGCCGGAUUAAUACCGCAUACGACCUAUGGGUGAAAGGGGGGGAUCGCAAGACCUCUCGCUAUUGGAGCGGCCGAUGUCAGAUUAGCUAGUUGGUGGGGUAAAGGCCCACCAAGGCGACGAUCUGUAGCUGGUCUGAGAGGACGACCAGCCACACUGGGACUGAGACACGGCCCAGACUCCUACGGGAGGCAGCAGUGGGGAAUUUUGGACAAUGGACGCAAGUCUGAUCCAGCCAUGCCGCGUGCGGGAAGAAGGCCUUCGGGUUGUAAACCGCUUUUGUCAGGGAAGAAAUCUUCUGGGUUAAUACCUCGGGAGGAUGACGGUACCUGAAGAAUAAGCACCGGCUAACUACGUGCCAGCAGCCGCGGUAAUAGUACU